GACGAACGCUGGCGGCGUGCUUAACACAUGCAAGUCGAACGGAAAGGCCCUGCUUUUGUGGGGUGCUCGAGUGGCGAACGGGUGAGUAACACGUGAGUAACCUGCCCUUGACUUUGGGAUAACUUCAGGAAACUGGGGCUAAUACCGGAUAGGAGCUCCUGCUGCAUGGUGGGGGUUGGAAAGUUUCGGCGGUUGGGGAUGGACUCGCGGCUUAUCAGCUUGUUGGUGGGGUAGUGGCUUACCAAGGCUUUGACGGGUAGCCGGCCUGAGAGGGUGACCGGCCACAUUGGGACUGAGAUACGGCCCAGACUCCUACGGGAGGCAGCAGUGGGGAAUAUUACAAAAUGGGCGGAAGCCUGAUGCAGCAACGCCGCGUGCGGGAUGACGGCCUUCGGGUUGUAAACCGCUUUCGCCUGUGACGAAGCGUGAGUGACGGUAAUGGGUAAAGAAGCACCGGCUAACUACGUG
rnacentral:rRNA from 1 species